rnacentral:rRNA from 1 species
CACGUAGGGCGCGAGCGUUGUCCGGAAUUAUUGGGCGUAAAGAGCUCGUAGGCGGCCUGUUGCGUCCGCUGUGAAAGCCCGGGGCUUAACCCCGGGUCGGCAGUGGAUACGGGCAGGCUAGAGGUAGGUAGGGGAGAAUGGAAUUCCCGGUGUAGCGGUGAAAUGCGCAGAUAUCGGGAGGAACCCCGGUGGCGAAGGCGGUUCUCUGGGCCUUACCUGACGCUGAGGAGCGAAAGCGUGGGGAGCGAACAGG